GGGGGUAUAGGCCAGUGGUAGAACAUUUGACUGCAUAUCAAGUGGUCCCUAGUUCAAGUCUGGGUACCCCCU